rnacentral:rRNA from 1 species
CUUGCUCUCCCAUAAGAGGUCCAGCCUGCCCAGUGACUUAGUUCAACGGCCGCGGUACCCUAACCGUGCGAAGGUAGCGUAAUCACUUGUCUUCCAAAUAGAGACUAGUAUGAAAGGCAUCACGAGAAUUUAACUGUCUCCUUUUUCUAAUCAGUGAAACUAAUCUUCCCGUGAAGAAGCGGGAAUCCAAAAAUAAGACGAGAAGACCCUAUGGAGCUUUAAACACUAACCACCUGCCCAAUCCUAUAAGACCCCGGUUCCAAAACCAACGCAUCAUGACUACGUGUUUUUGAUUGGGGCGACCACGGAAAAUAAUCAAACCUCCGUAAUGAAAACCUACAAGCCACAGCUUUAAGUAUCAACAAAUUGACAUCCAUUGACCCAAUAUAUUGACUAAUGAAC